rnacentral:misc_RNA from 1 species
GAUGAGAACGUAGCGAAAUGCGAUAAGUAAUGUGAAUUGCAGAAUUCAGUGAAUCAUCGAAUCUUUGAACGCACAUUGCGCCCGGCAGUACUCUGCCGGGCAUGCCUGUUCGAGCGUCAUUUCAACCCUCAAGCCCUGCUUGGUGUUGGGGUCCCACGGCCGCCGUGGGCCCUGAAAGGAAGUGGCGGGCUCGCUACAACUCCGAGCGUAGUAAUUCAUUAUCUCGCUUAGGGCGUUGGGCGGCGCUCCUGCCGUUAAAGAACCAUCUUUAACUCAAGGUUGACCUCGGAUCAGGUAGGAAUACCCGCUGAACUUAAGCAUAUCAAUAAGCGGAGGA